rnacentral:rRNA from 1 species
GACGAACGCUGGCGGCGUGCUUAACACAUGCAAGUCGAACGGAAAGGCCCUGCUUUUGUGGGGUGCUCGAGUGGCGAACGGGUGAGUAACACGUGAGUAACCUGCCCUUGACUUUGGGAUAACUUCAGGAAACUGGGGCUAAUACCGGAUAGGAGCUCCUGCUGCAUGGUGGGGGUUGGAAAGUUUCGGCGGUUGGGGAUGGACUAGCGGCUUAUCAGCUUGUUGGUGGGGUAGGGGCUUACCAAGGCUUUGACGGGUAGCCGGCCUGAGAGGGUGAACGGGCACAAUGGGACUGAGAUACGGCCCAGACUCCUACGGGAGGCAGCAGUGGGGAAUAUUGCACAAUGGGCGGAAGUCUGAUGCAGCAACGCCGCGUGCGGGAUGACGGCCUUCGGGUUGUAAACCGCUUUGGCAUGUGACGAAGCGUGAGUGACGGUAAUGGGUAAAGAAGCACCGGCUAACUACGUG